rnacentral:lncRNA from 1 species
GAAAAAACAAGCUCCAUAAAAAAGAGGACAAUGUCACGAUCUGGGUUUUGUUUCUUGUUUCCUGUUUUAUUUUGUAAUACUUCCUGUUUAGUUGUCACGUCCUGGUUCUAGAUCCGCUUUUAUGUUGAAGGGACUUACUGCUACGUCACAUCACAGCUGUUCCCUGUCAGUACCGGUCCGCAUUAUCCACACCUGCACUUCAUCUGCUAUUAGUUCACCUGGUAUUUAAGCACCACCUCUAAGCCCAGCACCUUGCCAGAUUGUUUGCUCAUUCACCCGUGACAACUCUCCAGCGUUCAGCCUGUAAGUUUAUCGUGUACCAGUUGCUGUUUGCCGUCUUGACCGUGUCUUUUGCCUUGCCCUCGUCUGUACCGUUGCUUGAGUUUCUGGAUUGCCGUGUACCGACCUUUGCCUGUCUGACCACGAGAACCAUUAAACCUUUUUGUCACCGAGCCUUGUCUCCGCUGUGCGUGUGGGUCCGCUACCUUGAGUCUGUGACAGUACAAUCUGGCCACACUCGGACCCAGCCGGCGUCUUGCAUCGGUUUAAGGGCUGCAAGGGAUUUUGUUUUGUUUACUCGGACAACGCAGAGUCGCGAUGGUGUUUACCUGCUCGAGGCUGCCGGAGGACCUCCGCUGGUGCUUCGGGGAGCUCGCGAGGAAUUACGCGGAAGCCCCCAGUCUGAAGGCGCGGCUCCGCGUAAUAAAACAGGCGAUCGCUAUCCUGGAGGAGGAAUUUUGGUGGCUUGACUACCCGGGAGUGCAGACGCUUUUUGAGAAGCUCCAGGCAGUACGGGGGGAUUUGGCACGCGCUCUGCGCGCGGCGCCCGCCAGCGUCUCAUCAGCUGUUCCUGCUGCACCGGAAAGCGCUCCUGUCGCUGCUCCGUCGAGUCAAGCUCACGUUCCUGUCGUCACUCAGUCAAGUCAAGCUCACGUUCCUGUCAUCGCUCAGUCGAGUCAAGCUCACGUUCCUGUCGCUGCUCAGUCGAGUCAAACUCACUCCCCCGUUGCCGCUCAGGCAGAUCCAGCUCCCGUUCCAGACACCAGCUCACCGGUCCCAGUCCAUGCCCACGUUACCGCCAUAGUUCCCGAGUCCAAUUCCGCCCGUACCGUGGCCCCAGCCCCUGCUUCAGCCCUGGCAGUGGAGAAGCCCACAGCUAGCCGUCGGAGGCCCAGACGGCGUCGACGACAGCCGGUUUCCCCUGUCCAGGCUCCAGAAGACUCGAUCACGGAAAUCAGACUGCCUCCUUCGCCAGCAGAGGGCACUCUCGCCCCAGCAGACGACAUACCCACCUCCAUCGCAGGCAUCCCGGACAGCAUUCUCCAACGGAUCCGUGCCCAAUGCACCCCUCCAGUCCUGUUCCUGUUUGCACACUGGCUGAACUCCGCUGAGGCAGAGACCGACCCGGUAAGCAAGGAGCGUCACUUCCGUGAAGCCGCCCUGCUCAUCGCCCGGAAGCCUGCGCUGCGCGAGGCCCUGGGUUUCAUUGAACCCCCAUCAGAGCCUGCACCCGUUCCUGCAUCAGAGCCUGCACCCGUUCCUGCAUCAGAGCCUGCACCCGUUCCUGCAUCAGAGCCUGCACCCGUUCCUGCAUCAGAGCCUGCACCCGUUCCUGCAUCAGAGCCUGCACCCAUUCCUGCAUCAGAGCCUGCACCCGUUCCUGCAUCAGAGCCUGCACCCGUUCCUGCAUCAGAGCCUGCACCCGUUCCUGCAUCAGAGCCUGCACCCGUUCCUGCAUCAGAGCCGGCAUCACUGGCCCCAGCGUCUAAGUCUGCAUCACUGGCCCCAGCGUCUAAGUCUGCAUCACUGGCCCCAGCGUCUAAGUCUGCAUCACUGGCCCCAGCGUCUAAGUCUGCUCCAGCCCACGCCUCACCUCAGCCAUGCCAAGCUCCAGCCCACGCCUCACCUCAGCCAUGCCAAGCUCCAGCCCACGCCUCACCUCAGCCAUGCCAAGCUCCAGCCCACGCCUCACCUCAGCCAUGCCACGCUCCAGCCCACGCCUCACCUCAGCCAUGCCACGCUCCAGCCCACGCCUCACCUCAGCCAUGCCACGCUCCAGCCCAGCCUGCAGCAGCUCGAGCCUCGGCUGCGUCACGUCAGGUUCAAGCCUCGGCUCCAGCUCACGCUCAAGAUCAAGCUCCAGCUCAGUCACGUCAGGUUCAAGCCUCGGCUCCAGCUCAAGCUCAAGAUCAAGCUCCAUCUUUACGCCAGCUAGCGGACACUCCUGGCCAGUCACACCAGGCCCCAGCUCCUGUUCCUGUCGGCCAUAUUGAGGCCGCUCCCGUUCCUGUCGGCCAUAUUGAGGCCGCUCCCGUUCCUGUCGGCCAUAGUGAGGCCGUUCUAGUCCCAGUUCCUGUCGGCCAAGUAGAGGCCGUUCUAGUCCCAGUUCCUGUCGGCCAAGUAGAGGCCGUUCUAGUUCCUGUCGGCCAAGUAGAGGCCGUUCUAGUCCCAGUUCCUGUCGGCUCCUCAGGGGAGGACGCCGUUCUAGUUCCUGUCGGCCAAGUAGAGGCCGUUCUAGUCCCAGUUCCUGUCGGCUCCUCAGAGGAGGACGCCGUUCUAGUUCCUGUCGGCCAAGUAGAGGCCGUUCUAGUCCCAGUUCCUGUCGGCUCCCCUGAGGAGGACGCCGUUCUAGUUCCUGCCACUGUCGGUCCCUCGGAGGCCGCAGCCCCCGACGAUCCCCAGGAGGGGGUCGUCCCGGCCGCAGCGUCUGCCGCAGCGUCUGUUGCAGCUCCGGCCGACCUCCCGGAGGAGGUCGGUCCAGCUCCGUCUCCGGCCGACCUCCCGGAGGAGGUGGUCGGCCCGCUCCUGGUUCAUGUGUUUUUUGAGCCAAUGUGUGCAGGUGCAGCUCCUGGCGGUCCGGUCCCGGACACGCUCGCCUCAGCUCCUGGCGGUCCGGCCCCGGACACGUUCGUCUCUGCUCCUGGCGGUCCGGCCCGGCCACGUUCGUCUCUGCUCCUGGUGGUCCGGUCCCGGCCACGCUCGUCUCGGCUCCUGGAGGUCCGGUCCCGGUCUCGCUCGUCUCGACUUCUGGAGGUCCGGCCCUGGACACGUUCGUCUCGACUUCUGGAGGUCCGGCCCCGGACACGUUCGCCUCAGCUCCUGGUGGUCCGGCCCCGGACACGUUCGCCUCAGCUCCUGGUGGUCCGGUCCCGGACACGUUCGCCUCAGCUCCUGGUGGUCCGGUCCCGGACACGUUCGCCUCAGCUCCUGGUGGUCCGGUCCCGGACACGUUCGCCUCAGCUCCUGGUGGUCCGGUCCCGGACACGUUCGCCUCUGCUCAUGGUGGUCCGGUCCCGGACACGUUCGCCUCUGCUCAUGGUGGUCCGGUCCCGGACACGUUCGCCUCUGCUCAUGGUGGUCCGGUCCCGGACACGUCUGUCUCCAGUCCUGGAGGCCCGGUGCUGGCCGCGUCUGCAUCGGUUCCUGGUGGCCUGGUUCCGGCCUCGUCUCCACGUCUGUCUUCGUCUCUGGUUCCUGCCUCGUCUCCACGUCUGUCUUCGCCUCUGGUUCCUGCCUCGUCUCCACGUCUGUCUUCGCCUCUGGUUCCUGCCUCGUCUCCACGUCUGUCUUCGCCUCUGGUUCCUGCCUCGUCUUUGUCUCGGCUGCCAGACUGGUGGCCUCGCCCUCGGCGCCCCCUGCUGCCUGGAUGGCGCUGCCUCCUGCGGCGCCGUCCGCCUCGACCCCUCAGUCUUCAGGAUCGGCGUCCGCCUGGAGGACAUCGCCGUUCGGGGUGGUCCCCGUGGACGCUGGCCCAGCUCAAGGGCACUAGGCGUGCCACCCUGCCUCAGCGGUGGCUGAGUAGGAUCUCGCCGCGUCUCCACCCGCCGUGAGGGGAUUCCUGGACUCUGAGUUUCCCUGGACGUGGACUUUGUUCUUGUCUCAUGGACAUUCAUGUUUUCUUGAUUAUGGGACUCGGUCUUGUUUUGUUUUUCGGGGGGGUCCUCUGGUCUGUCGUGUUCGGGCGUGUGUUUUGUGUUGUUGGGGGUUUCCGUUUUUGCCCUCCCCCAGUCCGCCCUCCGCCCGCCCUGUCGGUGUUCCAUGCGGGUUGUUUUUGGUUCUUGCCCUCCGCCGGUCCUCCCUCCGCCCGCCCUGCUUGGGUUUUGUUUUUUUUCUUUGGUCGUCUGGAAUCCGCCCUUGGGAGGGGGGUACUGUCACGAUCUGGGUUUUGUUUCUUGUUUCCUGUUUUAUUUUGUAAUACUUCCUGUUUAGUUGUCACGUCCUGGUUCUAGAUCCGCUUUUAUGUUGAAGGGACUUACUGCUACGUCACAUCACAGCUGUUCCCUGUCAGUACCGGUCCGCAUUAUCCACACCUGCACUUCAUCUGCUAUUAGUUCACCUGGUAUUUAAGCACCACCUCUAAGCCCAGCACCUUGCCAGAUUGUUUGCUCAUUCACCCGUGACAACUCUCCAGCGUUCAGCCUGUAAGUUUAUCGUGUACCAGUUGCUGUUUGCCGUCUUGACCGUGUCUUUUGCCUUGCCCUCGUCUGUACCGUUGCUUGAGUUUCUGGAUUGCCGUGUACCGACCUUUGCCUGUCUGACCACGAGAACCAUUAAACCUUUUUGUCACCGAGCCUUGUCUCCGCUGUGCGUGUGGGUCCGCUACCUUGAGUCUGUGACAGACAACAGAGAUUAAGGGUCAUUGAUGUAGCUGCACAGACAAUUGUGUUUUCAUGAAAGUUAGUUGCUGGUGUCUUGCGAGGACUCCUGAGACAGUGCACUAAUUACUGUAGCACUAAACUGUUCUACCAACACAGCAUCACUGACCUCACAAAGACCCCUUAACACACAGG